CAGGAGGGACCAGGCAGCCCAGGUCCUGUUCCAGUGAGCUUUUCUCGUGAAGGUGUAACACAUCACUGCUGGAAGAAAUUUGCCCGGAACUACUAAUCACAGAAUUCCUGUGCUGCUGAACAGCAAGUUUCCAGAGGAAUUUUGCAAGAUGACACGUAGCCGCAUAAGGCAAUUUUAGUGAAUAUGAGCUGGACCCAAAAAACGUUUUGACAUCAAGCACAUGGUAUUCCCAAAGACAGGCUGAAGCUUUGCCUUGGCCAGAAAUGGAACCCAUCCUUCCAGGACCCCAGCCCUGGAGCAGCACCCCUCUUACCCCCCAGCUGCACAUCCGGGAUGGCAGGAGCAACAGAACAGAAGGACAGCAAGGGCAGGCUGGAGCCCGCCACCCGCCCCCUCAGCAGGACCAUAGGGGCCACCACGGCGGUGAUGAUUAGGGUGGCUACAUCCACCCGCCCAGCUGCAGGAGGCUCCAGCAAGCCCUGAGGGGUCUCAGAUGAACCAUUGGCAACUGCUUGGGCUACAGUCAUCCCCUGCGCGCCCACAAGGAGCGUGGGCACUCUCCAGGGGUCCUGGAUCUGUGCUGCCACUGCUUUUCGUGUGUUAUGGCUAGCCAGGUGAAACGACAUCUUCAUUUGUCCUGCAAAACUCUCCACACUCUAAGUCUUUUUCCAUCCCAAAAAGGUCGACUGACCGGCAAGUCGACUUUUCCCCCUUCCUAGUCUUUGCACAUAGUUACCAUGAUCCUGUAGAUACAAUGACCAUGCUACUGUGUACCAGGCAGCAAACAAAAAUAAUAAAUAAGCUGAAGGGAAAAUGCUGACAUGGAAACCUCUUUGUAAACUGGAAAGAGCGAGUGGAAUACAAAUGAGCAAAAAAGCUUUCAACUGUUAAAGUGUAGUCUUAUGAAAACAAUACCGCCUGCAAAAUACGGUGACUUAUCUGCUUCAAACAAAAUAGAUGAAGUGUAAAUGUCACUAUGAUAAAAUGUCUCUAUCAUGUAGCAGACGGGGAACAGUCACUAUUCUUGGCUAAUGUCUGCCUACCUUUGUAAGUACGUACUUUGUCCCAGUUGCUGCAUGGUAUCUUGAGCUGAUGUGUCACUGAAGACUCUGUAACUGAUUUAUAGUCUAAUAAUUCUGAUUUCAUUUAAUGGAUUUGCCAUUUACCUUUGAAUGGCUGGAUUUAAAUCCUUUUUAUUGUGAUCAUUUAUCAGCAUAGUCUUUGAUUCUGCUUUACUAUCUGUCAUUCAAAUCAACACUGAAAUUUGGCUUCAAGAAAGCAGGGGCGAUCUUUAUUUACGCUGAGACACAAACGUUACCUGACCUAGGCAGCCAGGCAAGGGACUGCAGUGAACUGAAAGGUCUCCCUUCGGAUUUCAAUGGUUUUUACAACAGGACAGUAGCCACAGAAAGGAAAAAUCAAUUGUGACAAAAGGCUGAAGAGAUCCUGGUCAGACAAAGACCACCAUUCUUAAAUCUCUCAGGUAAAAAGAGUUUCUCUGAAAUAUCUUUUCCCCAGCUGUUUUUUCCCCCCACCUGACUUAACUGUUCUGCACUCUUCCCAUUCCCCAGUUCCAAUCUUGUUUGUUCCCGGGACCUGUCAUCAGUUUAAGCUGAAACAAUACUUUAUGGCGGGCACUUGGCUCUGAACAUCUCCACCUCUUGCAGUUGGGAAGAGAGGGCAAGAGCAGAGGGCUUUUUGGAAGCUGUUGUGGCUGAAGAUAGGGGGUGGAGAGCUCCAAAGAACCGAAAGCAACUAGGCACAGUAAGUGAAAAGGUGGACUUGAAACAUUUGUCAGUCCCUAGUAACUAUCUCAACAUAUUUUGGAGGUAACUAGCAGUUGCUCUGGAUUACCAAGGUUUCAGUAGCACUUGAAGGAUCAUCUUAGCAGCUGCCAAAGCUGCCCGUGCUGGGUGCAGGCACUGCCCUUCUGGGUUUUUUGGUUUGGUUUUUCAAAAAGUUGGCUUCUGAAGUUACAUGUGCUCUUCCUUUUUUUUCUCAAAUGCAUUUGACCAAACAAGUGUCAGCAGGCCAUAAUCCAAUUCUUUGGAAGACAGAUAGCAAAGAGCCAGCUGCAUUAGCUUUAGCCAGCUGGGAAAGUCUCCAACAGUGGGGUUAACCUCCCCGUGCUUUGCUCUUCCCUCCUCACAUGAACUUCAGUGUAUUUUAAAAGGGCUACAGUGUUGUAUUUAUGUAUAUGUAUGUGUAGGUGUGUAUAUUCAUUUUUAUACACAGGGUUUUUAAAAAAAACUUUCAAUAUAUAUGUACAGAUAUAACCUAAAAGGUUACAGAAUAAUCGUGGUUAUUGCGAAUACAUGUUAGAAAUGAUCCACUGGUUGUGCAUAACCACAAUACGAAAGCCACACAUGCAAGAGGCUCCCUUACCUACCACCGUUAAUGAAAUUGCUAUUUAUAGAAAACAUGGUUGUUUAUGUGCUCAUGAUAGAGACUGAA